AUUGAACGCUGGCGGCAGGCUUAACACAUGCAAGUCGAGCGAGCGGCGGACGGGUGAGUAAUGUCUGGGAAACUGCCUGAUGGAGGGGGAUAACUACUGGAAACGGUAGCUAAUACCGCAUAACAUCAGAUGUGCCCAGAUGGGAUUAGCUAGUAGGUGGGGUAAUGGCUCACCUAGGCGACGAUCCCUAGCUGGUCUGAGCGGAUGACCAGCCACACGGGAACUGAGACACGGUCCAGACUCCUACGCGAGGCCGCAGUGGGGAAUAUUGCACAAUGGUCGCAAGCCUGAUACAGCCAUUCCGCGUGUGUGAAGAAGGCCUUCGGGUUGUAAAGCACUUUCAGCGAGGAGUCGUUACUCGCAGAAGAAGCACCGGCUAACUCCGUGCCAGCAGCCGCGGUAAUUC
rnacentral:rRNA from 1 species